rnacentral:rRNA from 1 species
UACGGAGGGUGCAAGCGUUGCUCGGAAUCACUGGGCGUAAAGCGACCGCAGGCGGCCUGACAAGUCGGAUGUGAAAGCCCUGGGCUCAACUCAGGAAUUGCAUUCGAAACUGGUAGGCUCGAGUACGGGAGAGGGGGGUGGAAUUCCUGGUGUAGGGGUGAAAUUCGUUGAUAUCAGGAGGAACACCGGCGGCGAAGGCGGCCCCCUGGCCCGCAACUGACGCUCAUGGUCGAAAGCGUGGGGAGCAAAUAGG